CGUUACUCAGUAGUAGUUUGACUCCGUGGCUACAGGACGACGCUGGCGGCGUGCUUAACACAUGCAAGUCGAGCGUAAGGCCUUUCGGGGUACACGAGCGGCGAACGGGUGAGUAACACGUGGGUGAUCUGCCCUGCACUCUGGGAUAAGCCUGGGAAACUGGGUCUAAUACUGGAUAUGACCUCAGCAUGCAUGUGCUGGGGUGGAAAGCUUUUGUGGUGCAGGAUGGGCCUGCGGCCUAUCAGCUUGUUGGUGGGGUAAUGGGCCUACCAAGGCGACGACGGGUAGCCGACCUGAGAGGGUGACCGGCCACACUGGGACUGAGACACGGCCCAGGCUCCUACGGGAGGCAGCAGUGGGGAAUAUUGCACAAUGGGCGGAAGCCUGAUGCAGCGACGCCGCGUGAGGGAUGAAGGCCUUCGGGUUGUAAACCUCUUUCAGCAGGGACGAAGCGUGAGUGACGGUACCUGCAGAAGAAGCACCGGCUAACUACGUG
rnacentral:rRNA from 1 species